AUGAGGAGAGUCUAUUACCUGCAUUUUACAGAUGAGGAAACUCAUGGAUGCAGAAUUCUGAGGACAUUGAGAGAAGAGCCAGAUUUCAAGUUGUUUGAACACGGAACAGAGAUAAUUGAAGAACGCGCCUCUAACCUUAAAGCAACGGCCGGCCCGGUGGAAGGCAAACGCCCUGGGGUUCACCAGUUUCACUUCACUGGUUCGCUCCUCACCGGGGAUGGAAAGCAGAAGUUCACCACAUGAAAAUAGACCCCGUUGGGCAUGCAACAGCAACACCGUCAGCAAAGCGUCUCUUCCUGUUAGUUCACUUCUUCAAUUCUCAGCUCGGCUCUUUGCAACCUAAUUAGUCGGGCUCUAUGAGAAACCCUGCCUGGCCUUGAACCGGUGGCUUUACAGUGUUUGCUGAAGCUCCUGACCGCCCAGUGUUUCGGAAAGUCUGCUCUAAAUUCCUUAAUGGGCCCUUGUGCCGGAGAAAGAACUACAGGGAAAAACCUUUCUGACCCUCUCCAGAGCUCACCUUGACCCGGGGCACCUGUCCCAGUAGUCAGUCUUCAGAGAGCGGACCUGCAAGGGACUCAGGGCGUUGGGAUGUUGCAAGAGAGCUGCCCUGAUUUUUCUUUUGCUGUUUUCCCAGUUUUCUUUCUUUUUCCUCUUUUGCUACCUCGGAAAGGCAGAGAGUGAAGCUGCUUUUUGGGUCUACUCAAUUCUUAUUCCUGUCUCCAAUCAGAAAUAAGUGGGAAAAGAAAAGAAAAGAAAGAAAGAAAGAAAGAAAGAAAGAAAGAAAGAAAGAAAGAAAGAAAGAAAGAAAGAGAAAGAAAGAAGAAAGACAGAAAGAAAGAGAGGGGGGAGGGAGAGAGAGAGAGAAAGAAGGGAGGGAGGGAGAAAGACGGAAAGAGAGAGGAAGAAAGAAAAGAAAGAAAAGGAAGGAAGAAGAAAGAAGGAAAGAAAGAUGAAAGAAAGAAAGAAAGAAAGAAAGAAAGAAAGAAAGAAAGAAAGAAAGAAAAAAAAGAAAGAGAGGAAGAAAGAAAGAAAGGAAGGAAGGAAGGAAGGAAGAAAGAAAAGGAUCAACAGUGGAAACCAGGGAAAGUCCUUGAAAGCCGGAACCUUGCUGCAGCCUCAGCAUCACACCUGAGAGCUUGUUAGCGGCCUCACCUGAAAACUUGUUAAAAAUGUAGUAUUUCAUGAUUCAUCCCAGACCUACUGAAUUAGAAUCUGCAUUUUAACAACCCCCCCCCCCCCCCGCCCCGUGAUUCCUACGUACAAUAAGGUUUGAGAAAC
rnacentral:lncRNA from 1 species